CUUUUUACAAGUGUCAAUAAUAAACGGUCAGAAAACAGAAGCGACUGUGAUAGUCCAUGACUCAACAAAAGCGGUUACACAUCUCGUAAGAACUCUGGUGUGAUGUACAAAGGGUUCGUUGUUGAGGUGAAAUUCGAUCGCACGCGACAUCGCCGCCCGCUCUGAGGAUGUUCGGCCCAAAUGAUACCAUGGAUACAAGGAUCAGUUGCCGUCAUCAUUGGUACCUGUACUGGCUUCGCCCGCGACUCCGUCCGCGCGG